AUGCGGAAAGGAAAGAAGUCCAAGGGGAAGAAGGUGGCUCUGGCCCCCAUGGUCAUGAAGAAGCAGGAGGCCAAGAAAGGGGUGAGUUCCUUGUUUGAGAAAAGGCCUAAGAAUUUUGGCAUUAGACAGGACGUCCAGCCCAAAAGAGACCUCACCUGCUUUGUGAAAUGGCCCCGCUAUAUCAGGUUGCAGCAGCACAGAGCCAUCCUUUAUAAGCAGCUGAAAGUGCCUCCUGCAAUUAACCAGUUCACCCAGGCCCUGGACUGCCAAACAGCUACUCAGCUACUUAAGCUGGCCCACAAGUACAGACCAGAGACAAAGCAAUAGAAGAAGCGGAGGCUGUUGGCCUGGGCAGAGAAGAAAGCUGAUGGCAAAGGGGACGUCCCCACUAAGAGACCACCUGUCUUGGUGGAGAACAAGAAAGCUCAGCUUACUGCAUUAUCAAGGGGAAGGCAAGACUGGGGCAUCUAGCCCACAGGAAGACCUGCACCACUGUUGCCUUUACACAAGUUAAGUCAGAAGACAAAGGUGCUUUGGCUAAGCUGGGGGAAGCUAUCAGGACCGAUUACAAUGACAGGUAUGAUGAGAUCCGCUGUCACUGGGGAGGCAACGUCCUGGGUCCCAAGUCUGUGGCUUGCAUCACCGAGCUUGAAAAGGCAAAGGCUAAAGAAUUUGCCACUAAACUGGGUUAAAUGUACACUGUUGAGUUUUCUGUACAUAAAAAUAAUUAAAACAAUACAAAUUUUCCUUCAGCC